AAAACUUUCAACAACGGAUCUCUUGGUUCUGGCAUCGAUGAAGAACGCAGCGAAAUGCGAUAAGUAAUGUGAAUUGCAGAAUUCAGUGAAUCAUCGAAUCUUUGAACGCACAUUGCGCCCGUCAGUAUUCUGGCGGGCAUGCCUGUUCGAGCGUCAU
rnacentral:rRNA from 1 species